AUCCAGGUGACGAGUCCCAAAUAUGUCGAAACGCGCGUCCUGGAU
rfam:Schistosoma rodhaini strain Burundi genome assembly, scaffold: SROB_scaffold0004074